rnacentral:rRNA from 1 species
AACGAACGCUGGCGGCAGGCUUAACACAUGCAAGUCGAACGCCCCGCAAGGGGAGUGGCAGACGGGUGAGUAACGCGUGGGAACAUACCCUUUCCUGCGGAAUAGCUCCGGGAAACUGGAAUUAAUACCGCAUACGCCCUACGGGGGAAAGAUUUAUCGGGGAAGGAUUGGCCCGCGUUGGAUUAGCUAGUUGGUGGGGUAAAGGCCUACCAAGGCGACGAUCCAUAGCUGGUCUGAGAGGAUGAUCAGCCACAUUGGGACUGAGACACGGCCCAAACUCCUACGGGAGGCAGCAGUGGGGAAUAUUGGACAAUGGGCGCAAGCCUGAUCCAGCCAUGCCGCGUGAGUGAUGAAGGCCUUAGGGUUGUAAAGCUCUUUCACCGAUGAAGAUAAUGACGGUAGUCGGAGAAGAAGCCCCGGCUAACUUCGUGCCAGCAGCCGCCGUAAAAC